UCAAGAUGAUAAUGAUGACGAUGAUGAUGAUGAUGAUGAUGAUCAUCAUCAUCAUCAUCAUCAUUAUCAUCACCAUUGUCAUCAUCAUGU
rnacentral:pre_miRNA from 1 species